UACGGGGCGAGCAGGCGCGAAACCUCCGCAAUGCGCGAAAGCGUGACGGGGUCAGCCCGAGUGCCACCCGUGAGGGUGGCUGUGGCCGGCCGUAAAAAAGCCGGCUUAGAAAGCGGAGGGCAAGGCUGGUGCCAGCCGCCGCGGUAAAACCAGCUCCGCGAGUGGUCGGGACUAUUACUGGGCUUAAAGGGUCCGUAGGCGGCCCCGUGAGUCCGCGGCUAAAUCCCAGGGCUCAACCCUGGGACUGCUGCAGAUACCACGGGGCUAGGGACCGGGCGAGGGCGGGGGUACUCACCGGGUAGGGGCGAAAUCCUGAGAUCCGGUGAGGACCGGCGGUGGCGAAGGCGCCUGCCUGGAACGGCUCCGACGCUGAGGGACGAAAGCCGGGGGAGCGAAGGGGAUUAGAUACCCCCGUAGUCCCGGCUGUAAACGAUGCCUGCUAGGUGUUGGGCUGGCUGGAGCCAGCCCAGUGCCUGAAGGGAAACCGUUAAGCGGGCCGCCUGGGGAGUACGGCCGCAAGGCUGAAACUUAAAGGAACUGGCGGGGGCCCACUACAAGGGGAGGAGCCUGCAGCUUAAUUGGAUUCAACGCCGGAA
rnacentral:rRNA from 1 species